rnacentral:rRNA from 1 species
UACGUAGGGUGCAAGCGUUGUCCGGAAUUAUUGGGCGUAAAGAGCUCGUAGGCGGCCUGUCGCGUCGGCUGUGAAAACCCGAGGCUCAACCUCGGGCCUGCAGUCGAUACGGGCAGGCUAGAGUUCGGUAGGGGAGACUGGAAUUCCUGGUGUAGCGGUGAAAUGCGCAGAUAUCAGGAGGAACACCGGUGGCGAAGGCGGGUCUCUGGGCCGAAACUGACGCUGAGGAGCGAAAGCGUGGGUAGCAAACAGG